UACGAAGGGGGCUAGCGUUGUUCGGAUUUACUGGGCGUAAAGCGCACGUAGGCGGAUCGUUAAGUCGGGGGUGAAAUCCUGGAGCUCAACUCCAGAACUGCCUUCGAUACUGAAGAGCUCGAGUCCGGGAGAGGUGAGUGGAACUGCGAGUGUAGAGGUGAAAUCGUAGAUAUUCGCAAGAACACCAGUGGCGAAGGCGGCUCACUGGCCCGGUACUGACGCUGAGGUGCGAAAGCAUGGGGAGCGA
rnacentral:rRNA from 1 species